GGGCCCGCACAAGCAGCGGAGCGUGUGGUUUAAUUCGAUGCUACACGAAGAACCUUACCAGGGUUUGACAUGCAAGUGGUAGGAAACCGAAAGGCGACCGACCCUUCGGGGAGCUUGCACAGGUGCUGCAUGGCUGUCGUCAGCUCGUGUCGUGAGAUGUUCGGUUAAGUCCGCUAACGAGCGCAACCCUCGCUGUGUGUUACAAGUGUCACACGGUACUGCCGGUCUUAAGCCGGAGGAAGGUGGGGAUGACGUCAAGUCAGCAUGGCCUUUAUGUCCUGGGCUACACACACGCUACAAUGGCCAACACAAUAGGUUGCUAAGCCGCGAGGUGGAGCCAAUCCUCAAAGUUGGUCUCAGUUCAGAUUGCAGGCUGCAACCCGCCUGCAUGAAGAUGGAGUUGCUAGUAACCGCAGGUCAGCUAUACUGCGGUGAAUACGUUCCCGGGGCUU
rnacentral:rRNA from 1 species